rnacentral:rRNA from 1 species
GUCUACGGCCAUACUACACUGAACAAGCCCAAUCCCAUCUGAUCUUGGAAGCUAAGCAGAGUUGGGCCUGGUUAGUACUUGGAUGGGAGACCACCUAAGAAGACCAGAUGCUGUAGGCG